rnacentral:rRNA from 1 species
GCCCUUAGAGUUUGAUCCAGGCUCAAGACGACCCCUGGCGGCGCGCCUAACACAUGCAAGUCAAACGAGCGAGAGAGAGCUUGCUUUCUCGAGCGAGUGGCGAACGGGUGAGUAACGCGUGAGGAACCUGCCUCAAAGAGGGGGACAACAGUUGGAAACGACUGCUAAUACCGCAUAAGCCCACGGGUCGGCAUCGACCAGAGGGAAAAGGAGCAAUCCGCUUUGAGAUGGCCUCGCGUCCGAUUAGCUAGUUGGUGAGGUAACGGCCCACCAAGGCAACGAUCGGUAGCCGGACUGAGAGGUUGAACGGCCACAUUGGGACUGAGACACGGCCCAGACUCCUACGGGAGGCAGCAGUGGGGAAUAUUGCACAAUGGGGGAAACCCUGAUGCAGCGACGCCGCGUGGAGGAAGAAGGUCUUCGGAUUGUAAACUCCUGUUGUUGGGGAAGAUAAUGACGGUACCCAACAAGGAAGUGACGGCUAACUACGUGCCAGCAGCCGCGGUAAAACGUAGGUCACAAGCGUUGUCCGGAAUUACUGGGUGUAAAGGGAGCGCAGGCGGGAAGACAAGUUGGAAGUGAAAUCUAUGGGCUCAACCCAUAAACUGCUUUCAAAACUGUUUUUCUUGAGUAGUGCAGAGGUAGGCGGAAUUCCCGGUGUAGCGGUGGAAUGCGUAGAUAUCGGGAGGAACACCAGUGGCGAAGGCGGCCUACUGGGCACCAACUGACGCUGAGGCUCGAAAGUGUGGGUAGCAAACAGGAUUAGAUACCCUGGUAGUCCACACCGUAAACGAUGAUUACUAGGUGUUGGAGGAUUGACCCCUUCAGUGCCGCAGUUAACACAAUAAGUAAUCCACCUGGGGAGUACGACCGCAAGGUUGAAACUCAAAGGAAUUGACGGGGGCCCGCACAAGCAGUGGAGUAUGUGGUUUAAUUCGACGCAACGCGAAGAACCUUACCAAGUCUUGACAUCCCUUGACAGGCAUAGAAAUAUGUUUUCUCUUCGGAGCAAGGAGACAGGUGGUGCAUGGUUGUCGUCAGCUCGUGUCGUGAGAUGUUGGGUUAAGUCCCGCAACGAGCGCAACCCUUAUGGUCAGUUACUACGCAAGAGGACUCUGGCCCGACUGCCGUUGACAAAACGGAGGAAGGUGGGGAUGACGUCAAAUCAUCAUGCCCUUUAUGACUUGGGCUACACACGUACUACAAUGGCGUUAAACAAAGAGAAGCAAGACCGCGAGGUGGAGCAAAACUCAGAAACAACGUCCCAGUUCGGACUGCAGGCUGCAACUCGCCUGCACGAAGUCGGAAUUGCUAGUAAUCGUGGAUCAGCAUGCCACGGUGAAUACGUUCCCGGGCCUUGCACA